rnacentral:rRNA from 1 species
GACGAACGCUGGCGGCGUGCUUAACACAUGCAAGUCGAACGGAAAAGGGCUGCUUUUGCCGGGUGUCCGCGUGGGGAAAGGGAGUGUAACACAGGAGUAUCCUGCGCAUGAUUUUGUAAUAUCCUCAGAAAACUGCGGCUAACACAGGCGAGCUGCUGGAGCUGCCUGGUGGGGGUCGGAAAGUAUCGGUGGAUGUGGAUGGAGUUGGGGGUAAUCAGUUUGUGGGUUGGGGAGUGGCUUACGAAGUCUUUGACGGGUAGCCGGCAUGAGAGGGUGACCGGGCACAUUGGUACUGAGGUACGGCCCAGAGUCCUACGGGAGGCAGCAGUGGGGAGUAUUGCACAAUGGACGGAAGCCUGAUGCAGCAACGCCGCGUGCGGGAUGACGGCCUUCGGGUGGUGAACCGCAUUCGCCUGUGACGAAGCGUGAGUGACGUUAAUGGGUAAAGAAGCACCGGCUAACUACGUG